GAUGAGAACGUAGCGAAAUGCGAUACGUAAUGUGAAUUGCAAAUUCAGUGAAUCAUCGAGUCUUUGAACGCACAUUGCGCCCCCUGGUAUUCCGGGGGGCAUGCCUGUCCGAGCGUCAUUGCUGCCCUCAAGCACGGCUUGUGUGUUGGGCCCCGUCCUCCGAUCCCGGGGGACGGGCCCGAAAGGCAGCGGCGGCACCGCGUCCGGUCCUCGAGCGUAUGGGGCUUUGUCACCCGCUCUGUAGGCCCAGCCGGCGCUUGCCGAUCAACCCAAAUUUUUAUCCAGGUUGACCUCGGAUCAGGUAGGGAUACCCGCUGAACUUAAGCAUAUCAAUAAGCGGAGGA
rnacentral:misc_RNA from 1 species